rnacentral:rRNA from 1 species
AUGACGAAUAUGGUUCACAUCGAUGAGAAGUGGUUUGACAUGACGAGAGUGAAGAAUAGUUACUAUGUACUUCCAAGAGAACCCGAACCGAAGCGCACCAUGUCAAACACUCACAGCAUUGGGAAGGUGAUGUUCCUAACAGUUGUUGCCAAGCCUCGAUAUAACAAUGAGGGGGAGCUAACAUUUGAUGGGAAGAUCGGCAUUUGGGCAUUUGUCGAAGAGACUGAGGCAAAGCGGACAAGUCAAAACAGAACAAAGGGAACAAAAGUGUUGACAUCAGUGAAAGUAACCAGGCCUGUGUGCAGAGAUUAUCUAAUCAGUAAGGUUAUCCCGGCAAUUCAGGAUAAGUGUCCCGACGAUGAUGAGGGAGCAACAAUAUUCAUCCAACAGGAUAACGCAAAGCAUCAUGUCCUUCCCAAUGAUAUAGCUUUUCGAGAAGCUGUGGAACAAACUGAUCUUGACAUCCGAUUGCUGCAACAACCCCCAAAUAGCCCUGAGUUAAAUUGUUUGGACCUCUGCUUCCAUAGCUCUCUCCAGUCUCUAACCGACUGCAGAUCACCUACAAACAUCCAGGAACUGGUACAGGGUGUGGAAGAGGAAUUCGAGAACUACGAUCCCGACAAGUUGCACAGAAGCUUUAUCACAUUAGAAGCAGUUAUGUUUGAAGUUAUGAAAGACAAGGGAGGAAAUCAAUAUAAGUUGCCCCACUUGAACAAGGAUCGCUUUCAGAAUGCUGGAAUGGAGAUAACCGGUGUAUAUUGCGACAGUCAGGUAGUUGUUGAUACUAGGGCCAUUAUAGAAGAAAUGGAAAUUGCAAUAGGAAAAGAAAAUGAAAGGAAAGAAUUGGCUAGAGAAGGGAAAAGAAAGAAAAUUAAAGGGAAGGGAAGGGAAGGGAAGGGAAGUGAAGAAAUGGCCAGAGAAAGGAAAAGAAUGUAG